rnacentral:rRNA from 1 species
UACGUAGGGGGCAAGCGUUGUCCGGAUUUAUUGGGCGUAAAGAGCGUGUAGGCGGCCUGACAGGUCUGCUGUGAAAACUCGAGGCUCAACCUCGAGAUGUCGGCGGAAACCGUCUGGCUAGAGUCCGGAAGAGGAGAGUGGAAUUCCUGGUGUAGCGGUGAAAUGCGCAGAUAUCAGGAAGAACACCUAUGGCGAAGGCAGCUCUCUGGGACGGUACUGACGCUGAGACGCGAAAGCGCGGGGAGCGAACGGG